AGGCCUAAUUUGAACUGUCAGGACCUGUGCCUUUUUUGUGGGCUGGGAGGUGACAGGUACCAGCAGUUUUUGUAUAAAACAUGGAGGAUGUUCCAAAAGAUAAAGAAGCAGAAGGAGUGUUUACCAUACCAUCAAGUGUUUUGGUGCCAGGAGUUGAGCUACUUGGUUACAGCACUAAGGCCACAACAGAAGACAGAGACUAACAUAUUCUGCAGACUAGCCUACAGGAGCUGAAGAGCCAUGCUCACUUACAGCACUGUUUUGAAGGCCUUCAGUGAGCAUCCACUAGUAAAGCUGUUGCUUGUCUGCACUCCGAAUGGCAAGAUCUCAGUUUGCAGGUCCUAGGAGAGUUUCCUACAACAGUUCCAUGCAAUGGCACAACUGAAUUAAUAACAAAAAUAAAUAAAAAAAGAUAGAUGUUUGCCUA